CUGCGUGGAAGGGCCAUCGCUCAACGGAUAAAAGCUACCCUGGGGAUAACAGGCUUAUCUCCCCCAAGAGUCCACAUCGACGGGGAGGUUUGGCACCUCGAUGUCGGCUCAUCACAUCCUGGGGCUGUAGUAGGUCCCAAGGGUUGGGCUGUUCGCCCAUUAAAGUGGUACGCGAGCUGGGUUCAGAACGUCGUGAGACAGUUCGGUCCCUAUCCGUCGCAGGCGUAGGAAAGUUGAGAAGACCUGUCCUUAGUACGAGAGGACCGGGAUGGACGUACCUCUGGUGUACCAGUUGUUCUGCCAAGGGCAUGGCUGGGUAGCUAUGUACGGAAUGGAUAAGCGCUGAAAGCAUCUAAGCGCGAAGCCAACUUCAAGAUAAGAUUUCCCACCGCAAGGGUAAGACCCCAGAAAGACUAUCUGGUUGAUAGGUCGAAGGUGUAAGUGCAGCAAUGUAU
rnacentral:rRNA from 1 species